rnacentral:rRNA from 1 species
UACGGAGGGGGCAAGCGUUAUUCGGAAUUACUGGGCGUAAAGGGCUCGUAGGCGGCCAACUAAGUCAGACGUGAAAUCCCUCGGCUUAACCGGGGAACUGCGUCUGAUACUGGAUGGCUUGAGUUCGGGAGAGGGAUGCGGAAUUCCAGGUGUAGCGGUGAAAUGCGUAGAUAUCUGGAGGAACACCGGUGGCGAAGGCGGCAUCCUGGACCGAUACUGACGCUGAGGAGCGAAAGCCAGGGGAGCAAACGGG